CUACGGGAGGCAGCAGUGGGGAAUAUUGCACAAUGGGCGCAAGCCUGAUGCAGCGACGCCGCGUGAGGGAUGGAGGCCUUCGGGUUGUAAACCUCUUUUAUCGGGGAGCAAGCGAGAGUGAGUUUACCCGUUGAAUAAGCACCGGCUAACUACGUGCCAGCAGCCGCGGUAAUACGUAGGGUGCAAGCGUUAUCCGGAAUUAUUGGGCGUAAAGGGCUCGUAGGCGGUUCGUCGCGUCCGGUGUGAAAGUCCAUCGCUUAACGGUGGAUCCGCGCCGGGUACGGGCGGGCUUGAGUGCGGUAGGGGAGACUGGAAUUCCCGGUGUAACGGUGGAAUGUGUAGAUAUCGGGAAGAACACCAAUGGCGAAGGCAGGUCUCUGGGCCGUUACUGACGCUGAGGAGCGAAAGCGUGGGGAGCGAACAGGAUUAGAUACCCUGGUAGUCCACGCCGUAAACGGUGGAUGCUGGAUGUGGGGCCCGUUCCACGGGUUCCGUGUCGGAGCUAACGCGUUAAGCAUCCCGCCUGGGGAGUACGGCCGCAAGGCUAAAACUCAAAGAAAUUGACGGGGGCCCGCACAAGCGGCGGAGCAUGCGGAUUAAUUCGAUGCAACGCGAAGAACCUUACCUGGGCUUGACAUGUUCCCGACGGUCGUAGAGAUACGGCUUCCCUUCGGGGCGGGUUCACAGGUGGUGCAUGGUCGUCGUCAGCUCGUGUCGUGAGAUGUUGGGUUAAGUCCCGCAACGAGCGCAACCCUCGCCCCGUGUUGCCAGCGGAUUAUGCCGGGAACUCACGGGGGACCGCCGGGGUUAACUCGGAGGAAGGUGGGGAUGACGUCAGAUCAUCAUGCCCCUUACGUCCAGGGCUUCACGCAUGCUACAAUGGCCGGUACAACGGGAUGCGACGCGGUGACGCGGAGCGGAUCCCUGAAAACCGGUCUCAGUUCGGAUCGCAGUCUGCAACUCGACUGCGUGAAGGCGGAGUCGCUAGUAAUCGCGAAUCAGCAACGUCGCGGUGAAUGCGUUCCCGGGCCUUGUACACACCGCCCGUCAAGUCAUGAAAGUGGGCAGCACCCGAAGCCGGUGGCCUAACCCCUUGUGGGAUGGAGCCGUCUAAGGUGAGGCUCGUGAUUGGGACUAAGUCGUAACAAGGUAGCCGUACCGGAAGGGGCGGCUG
rnacentral:rRNA from 1 species